rnacentral:rRNA from 1 species
AAUUACCCAAUCCUCUUUCAGGGAGGUAGUGACAAGAUAUAACAACGCGAGUAAAAAUCGCGAUUGUAGUGAGGGUAUUCUAAAAAUAGCUUCGAGUACGAUUGGAGGGCAAGUCUGGUGCCAGCAGCCGCGGUAAUUCCAGCUCCAAUAGCGUAUAUUAAAGUUGUUGCAGUUAAAAAGCUCGUAGUUGGAUUUGUGGCGUACGAUGUGUUCCGGGCACUUGUUGUCUGAGUAACCUGUUGUUGCCAUCCUUGGGUGGAACCUGUGUGGCAUUAGGUUGUCGUGCAGGGGAUGCCCAUCAUUUACUGUGAAAAAAUUAGAGUGUUCAAAGCAGGCUUAUGCCGUUGAAUAUAUUAGCAUGGAAUAAUGAGAUAGGACUUUUUUGCUAUUUUGUUGGUUUGCGCAAAGAGGUAAUGAUUAAUAGGGACAGUUGGGGGUAUUCGUAUUCCAUUGUCAGAGGUGAAAUUCUUGGAUUUUUGGAAGACGAACUACUGCGAAAGCAUUUACCAAGGAUGUUUUCAUUAAUCAAGAACGAAAGUUAGGGGAUCGAAGAUGAUUAGAUACCAUCGUAGUCUUAACCAUAAACUAUGCCGACAAGGGAUUGGUGGAGUCUCGUUAUGUCUCCAUCAGCACCUUAUGAGAAAUCACAAGUCUUUGGGUUCCGGGGGGAGUAUGGUCGCAAGGCUGAAACUUAAAGAAUUUG